rnacentral:rRNA from 1 species
GGGAAAGAUGAAAAGCACUUUGGAAAGAGAGUUAAACAGUACGUGAAAUUGCUGAAAGGGAAACGCUUGAAGUCAGUCGCGUUGUCCGGAACUCAGCCUUGCUUUCGCUUGGUGCACUUUCCGGAUGACGGGUCAGCAUCGAUUUUGACCGUCGGAAAAGGGCUGGAGUAAUGUGGCACCUCCGGGUGUGUUAUAGACUCCGGUCGCAUACGGCGGUUGGGAUCGAGGAACGCAGCGCGCCGCAAGGCCAGGGGUUCGCCCACUUUCGCGCUUAGGAUGCUGGCAUAAUGG